rnacentral:rRNA from 1 species
AGAGUUUGAUCCUGGCUCAGGAUGAACGCUAGCGGCAGGCUUAACACAUGCAAGUCGAGGGGUAUAGUUCUUCGGAAUUAGAGACCGGCGCACGGGUGCGUAACGCGUAUGCAAUCUACCUUUUACAGAGGGAUAGCCCAGAGAAAUUUGGAUUAAUACCUCAUAGUAUUACGAAAUGGCAUCAUUUUGUAAUUAAAGUCACAACGGUAAAAGAUGAGCAUGCGUCCCAUUAGCUAGUUGGUAAGGUAACGGCUUACCAAGGCUACGAUGGGUAGGGGUCCUGAGAGGGAGAUCCCCCACACUGGUACUGAGACACGGACCAGACUCCUACGGGAGGCAGCAGUGAGGAAUAUUGGACAAUGGGCGCAAGCCUGAUCCAGCCAUGCCGCGUGCAGGAUGACGGUCCUAUGGAUUGUAAACUGCUUUUAUACGAGAAGAAACACUCCGACGUGUCGGAGCUUGACGGUAUCGUAAGAAUAAGGAUCGGCUAACUCCGUGCCAGCAGCCGCGGUAAUACGGAGGAUCCAAGCGUUAUCCGGAAUCAUUGGGUUUAAAGGGUCCGUAGGCGGUUUAAUAAGUCAGUGGUGAAAGCCCAUCGCUCAACGGUGGAACGGCCAUUGAUACUGUUAAACUUGAAUUAUUAGGAAGUAACUAGAAUAUGUAGUGUAGCGGUGAAAUGCUUAGAGAUUACAUGGAAUACCAAUUGCGAAGGCAGGUUACUACUAAUGGAUUGACGCUGAUGGACGAAAGCGUGGGUAGCGAACAGGAUUAGAUACCCUGGUAGUCCACGCCGUAAACGAUGGAUACUAGCUGUUGGAAGCAAUUUCAGUGGCUAAGCGAAAGUGAUAAGUAUCCCACCUGGGAGUACGUUCGCAAGAAUGAAACUCAAAGGAAUUGACGGGGGCCCGCACAAGCGGUGGAGCAUGUGGUUUAAUUCGAUGAUACGCGAGGAACCUUACCAAGGCUUAAAUGUAGAUUGACCGGUUUGGAAACAGAUCUUUCGCAAGACAAUUUACAAGGUGCUGCAUGGUUGUCGUCAGCUCGUGCCGUGAGGUGUCAGGUUAAGUCCUAUAACGAGCGCAACCCCUGUUGUUAGUUGCCAGCGAGUCAAGUCGGGAACUCUAACAAGACUGCCAGUGCAAACUGUGAGGAAGGUGGGGAUGACGUCAAAUCAUCACGGCCCUUACGCCUUGGGCUACACACGUGCUACAAUGGCCGGUACAGAGAGCAGCCACUGGGCGACCAGGAGCGAAUCUAUAAAACCGGUCACAGUUCGGAUCGGAGUCUGCAACUCGACUCCGUGAAGCUGGAAUCGCUAGUAAUCGGAUAUCAGCCAUGAUCCGGUGAAUACGUUCCCGGGCCUUGUACACACCGCCCGUCAAGCCAUGGAAGCUGGGGGUGCCUGAAGUCGGUGACCGCAAGGAGCUGCCUAGGGUAAAACUGGUAACUAGGGCUAAGUCGUAACAAGGUA